GUCGACUGUGGCAGCAGGUCUCGUCUGUGAUGCGUAUCUGCAUCACUUGACGCAAGCCUGGCGUAGCCUCUGCUUGUUUGUUGCCACAUCACACCAUCGUAGACGGCGUCCUAUUGACAUUCAACACAAUUUGUCGUGGAAACGCCAUCAAUAGAUCUCGUGGAAAAAGCCAUUGUGUGCCAAAAGGCCCCGAUCAUUUCCUUAGACUACUUGUUGGAAAAUUUGGCCGGGCAUCUUUGUGGGCAGCUAUGCUGGGCCUUUGUGAAAGAACCACGACACCACUAUUAUUAUUAUUAUUGUGCUUUGCGUUCUGUUUGUAAAUGAGACUUACUCCAUUUUUUUUUUCUUCUUUGCUCACCUUUCUCCCCAUUCCACGCCCUCCAUCAUCUUCUAGUACAUUUUGUGCUUCCGCGUGUGCGUUCCGUUCCCCCGAGGGGGAAUAGAUAGCACACGCAUGCCGCGGCAGCGCAUAGUUGAAGCCAUCCAGUGUUGCGCCACGGCUGGUCGCACCUCAAACACAAGGGCUCGUGAUACUGUAGUAGGUGUGAAAGGGGGUUUAUAGGUUUAUAUCGGGACAGGGAUGCCUGUUGCGAAUGUCUGCGUUCUAUACAUAGAGACAUCAAGCCAUAGAAGGUCCGGGACCUCCUAUAGUCCACCGUUGUGCUUUCCUUCCCCCUGGACCCAAAAGUGGCCUGGCCGGCUUUUAUGGGAAGCAGAAUAGAUGAAGAAAUCAAAACCUCCUACAGACACCCCCCACCCCUCCCCCCCAGGAUCAAAGACGUGGUGGCGCUGCAGCGGCUUUGAUCAUGAGGCAGGAGGAGAGGGAAAGGGGCUUCUGGCUGGAGAACUCCCCUGCAAGCAGCUCAUAAAAUGACACCGACACAAAGGUGCCGCCACGUACAGACGGAGGACACGCGUGCACUUUUUGGCCAUGCUAAGAACAUGUGGCGCCGUUUGCUUUGAUGCCCGUGCGUGCGUUUGCACCCGAGGCAAAGUACCGCGGUGGAAUGGUUUACUCUGAGCUGUUGCUCGAGCCCGGUUCGGCGCGAUUUUCAUUCGACGCCUUGCCAAACCGGGCAAAAAGUGGCCAGAGUUGGAGAAAAGAAGAAAAUAUUCUCUCUUUUCCAUUCAUGUCAUGUUGACCCGUGUUGAAAGUGACAUUCAUGCGAUUUGUGCGCGCGAAACGGAACUUGAACUUUGCCGUGGCAACGUGCCAUUUAUCAGACUUUUGCACGUGUGAUGUUUUGAUUGGGCCGGCGAGAACAAAGCCGCAGCUUAUGUCCAAAACGUCGACAGGUCAGCAAGGAUUUCUAUGACUUUUUCAUCUGCCCCCCCCCCCCUCCCCGCGAAAACCUCGUUACGGCUGCUUUCAUCAAUCAGCUCGCCCGCAGGGCUUCACAGCGCGUUGACCCUUCGACACACACGGCGGUGCUAAUCCCCGUCGGGUAAUACACUGCUGAUAUUGCGAUGUAGCCGCUUAUUGGACAUGGGAGGGCAACUGCGCGACCUGGAACGAUGAACUUCCGAGUGCCAAGAAAUCCGGAACAAUCAUUGCGUAAUGACGAUGUUUUUU